AUACGGAGGGUGCAAGCGUUGUUCGGAAUCACUGGGCGUAAAGGGCGCGCAGGCGGUUUGGUAAGUCAGAUGUGAAAGCCCACGGCUCAACCGUGGAAGUGCAUUUGAAACUGCCAGACUUGAGUACCAGAGGGGAAAGUGGAAUUCCCGGCGUAGAGGUGAAAUUCGUAGAUAUCGGGAGGAAUACCGGUGGCGAAGGCGACUUUCUGGCUGGAUACUGACGCUGAGGCGCGAAAGCGUGGGGAGCAAACAGGAUUAGAUACCCCGGUAGUCC
rnacentral:rRNA from 1 species